rnacentral:rRNA from 1 species
GACGAACGCUGGCGGCGUGCCUAAUACAUGCAAGUCGAGCGGACGAAUCGAAAGCUUGCUUUUGAUUCGUUAGCGGCGGACGGGUGAGUAACACGUGGGCAACCUGCCCUGUAGACGGGGAUAACACCGAGAAAUCGGUGCUAAUACCGGAUAACACGAAAUGUCGCAUGACGUUUCGUUGAAAGACGGCGCAAGCUGUCGCUACAGGAUGGGCCCGCGGCGCAUUAGCUAGUUGGUGAGGUAACGGCUCACCAAGGCGACGAUGCGUAGCCGACCUGAGAGGGUGAUCGGCCACACUGGGACUGAGACACGGCCCAGACUCCUACGGGAGGCAGCAGUAGGGAAUCUUCCGCAAUGGACGAAAGUCUGACGGAACAACGCCGCGUGAGCGAAGAAGGCCUUCGGGUCGUAAAGCUCUGUUGUUAGGGAAGAACAAGUAACGCAGUAACUGGCGUUACCGUGACGGUACCUAACGAGAAAGCCACGGCUAACUACGUG